rnacentral:rRNA from 1 species
CAGUAGCGGCGAGCGAACGGGGAGGAGCCCAGAGCCUGAAUCAGUGUGUGUGUUAGUGGAAGCGUCUGGAAAGGCGCGCGAUACAGGGUGACAGCCCCGUACACAAAAAUGCACAUGCUGUGAGCUCGAUGAGUAGGGCGGGACACGUGGUAUCCUGUCUGAAUAUGGGGGGACCAUCCUCCAAGGCUAAAUACUCCUGACUGACCGAUAGUGAACCAGUACCGUGAGGGAAAGGCGAAAAGAACCCCGGCGAGGGGAGUGAAAAAGAACCUGAAACCGUGUACGUACAAGCAGUGGGAGCACGCUUAGGCGUGUGACUGCGUACCUUUUGUAUAAUGGGUCAGCGACUUAUAUUCUGUAGCAAGGUUAACCGAAUAGGGGAGCCGAAGGGAAACCGAGUCUUAACUGGGCGUUAAGUUGCAGGGUAUAGACCCGAAACCCGGUGAUCUAGCCAUGGGCAGGUUGAAGGUUGGGUAACACUAACUGGAGGACCGAACCGACUAAUGUUGAAAAAUUAGCGGAUGACUUGUGGCUGGGGGUGAAAGGCCAAUCAAACCGGGAGAUAGCUGGUUCUCCCCGAAAGCUAUUUAGGUAGCGCCUCGUGAAUUCAUCUCCGGGGGUAGAGCACUGUUUCGGCAAGGGGGUCAUCCCGACUUACCAACCCGAUGCAAACUGCGAAUACCGGAGAAUGUUAUCACGGGAGACACACGGCGGGUGCUAACGUCCGUCGUGAAGAGGGAAACAACCCAGACCGCCAGCUAAGGUCCCAAAGUCAUGGUUAAGUGGGAAACGAUGUGGGAAGGCCCAGACAGCCAGGAUGUUGGCUUAGAAGCAGCCAUCAUUUAAAGAAAGCGUAAUAGCUCACUGGUCGAGUCGGCCUGCGCGGAAGAUGUAACGGGGCUAAACCAUGCACCGAAGCUGCGGCAGCGACGCUUAUGCGUUGUUGGGUA